rnacentral:rRNA from 1 species
CAAGAGAAGCUGGAAUGCCUCCUGACGAAAGCUGCCGCCUUAGGAUUGCACUGCGACCUAUCAGGUUGUAGGGAGGGGUAACGGCCUCCCUAGCCUACGACGGGUACGGGCGUUGAGAAGACGUCGCCCGGAGAUGAACUCUGAGACACGAGUUCAGGCCCUACGGGGCGCAGCAGGCGCGAAAACUGCACAAUGCUGGAAACAGCGAUGCGGGAAUUCCAAGUGCCAGCACAGAGUGUUGGCUGUUCCAUUGUCUAAAAAACAUAGGAAGUAAGGGCUGGGUAAGACGGGUGCCAGCCGCCGCGGUAAUACCUGCAGCCCGAGUGGUGGCCGUUAUUAUUGGGCCUAAAACGUCCGUAGCCUGUUUGGUAGAUGCCUGUGUAAAUCGAACGGCUUAACCGUUCGACGUGCGGGUAGACCGCCAGACUUGGGACCGGGAGAGUCACGAAGUACUCCGGGGGUAGAGGUGAAAUUCUGUAAUCCUCGGGGGACUACCGGUGGCGAAGGCGUCGUGAUAGAACGGCUCCGACGGUGAGGGACGAAGCCCUGGGGCGCAAACCGGAUUAGAUACCCGGGUAGUCCAGGGUGUAAACGCUGCGG